GAGUGGUGGCGGCAUAUUAGCGGCAUGACAUGCACAUGGACAUGCGUGCCGGCCUUUGUUCAGGCUUGUGUAAAAGUGUCAAGUCGUAUAAGUUUUGUUGAACUGUUCCGUGAGAUAGAGAGGAAAGACGUUGCAGUCUCUAUGGAGUCUGCAUAGAAUUUUAUGCAUGUUCCUGUGCACUUGUGCACACGCUGACAUGAUGCCCCAGACACAAAGAGGUGGUGAAGCGAGUUGCGCCGUUGAAAAGUUGGCCGCCUCUCAGCUGGGAAAAUUCGUCGUAUUUUUUGUAACUUUGUCUGGUAAGGUAUCUUGAGGAUGAAGACGAUGCGUUCACUGACCAAGCCAAGAUACAAAGAAUGCCUGGCCGCGCCGUAAGAUCAUCUUCCUUACCGGUCCCGCCCUACGAUGUGCUGUCCUCUGCAUUCGAGUGAGUGGCAGCAGCUUCUAUUUUUUUUCUUUGUGUAAAUUUUUAGGCAUUUGCAGAAAAUUUUCAUAAAGUUGCCGAAUGAGGAAGCAGCUUAGUGGACUGCCUGCGACCAAGAACUUCCUAAGCUACCAAGACGCGCCUUGCAGCACAUAGAGGGACCGCGGCGACGCACCGUAUCAGUGCUGUUAAUGACCAAUCUGUUGUUCAACCGAAUCGGCGUAUUGUCGGCAUCAAAUGAUA